rnacentral:tRNA from 1 species
GGAGAGAUGGGUGAGUGGCUGAAACCACCGGUUUGCUAAACCGACAUACGGGAAUACUGUAUCGAGGGUUCGAAUCCCUCUCUCUCCG